rnacentral:rRNA from 1 species
UACGGAGGAUGCAAGCGUUAUCCGGAAUGAUUGGGCGUAAAGCGUCCGUAGGUGGUUUUGUAAGUCUGUGGUUAAAGCGUGGGGCUUAACCCCAUAACGGCCAUGGAAACUACAAGACUUGAGUGAAGUAGGGGUAGAGGGAAUUCCCAGUGUAGCGGUGAAAUGCGUAGAGAUUGGGAAGAACACCGGUGGCGAAAGCGCUCUACUGGACCUUAACUGACACUGAGGGACGAAAGCUAGGGGAGCGAAAGGG